rnacentral:rRNA from 1 species
UACGUAGGGACCAAGCGUUGUUCGGAUUUACUGGGCGUAAAGGGCGCGUAGGCGGCGUGUUAAGUCACUUGUGAAAUCUCUGAGCUUAACUCAGAACGGUCAAGUGAUACUGAUGUGCUAGAGUGCAGAAGGGGCAACCGGAAUUCUUGGUGUAGCGGUGAAAUGCGUAGAUAUCAAGAGGAACACCUGAGGUGAAGAGGGUUGCUGGGCUGACACUGACGCUGAGCGCGAAGACCAGGGGAGCGAACGGG